CGGUUGAUCCUGCCAGACCCGACUGCUAUCAGAGUGGGACUAAGCCAUGCGAGUCAACGCCGCAAGGCGUGGCAUACGGCUCAGUAACACGUAGUCAACAUGCCCAAAGGACGUGGAUAACCUCGGGAAACUGAGGAUAAACCGCGAUAGGCCAAGGUUUCUGGAAUGGACCAUGGCUGAAAUCUAUAUGGCCUUUGGAUUGAACUGCGGCCGAUCAGGCUGUUGGUGAGGUAAUGGCCCACCAAACCUGUUACCGGUACGGGCUUUGAGAGAAGGAGCCCGGAAAUGGGCACUGAGACAAGGGCCCAAGCCCUAUGGGGCGCAGCAGGCGCGAAACCUCUGCAAUAAGCGAA
rnacentral:rRNA from 1 species